ACGCUCGACACCUACGGAGGCAGCAGUGGGGGAUAUUGCACAAUGGGGGAAACCCUGAUGCAGCAACGCCGCGUGAAGGAAGAAGGUCUUCGGAUUGUAAACUUCUGUCCUCAGGGAAGAUAAUGACGGUACCUGAGGAGGAAGCUCCGGCUAACUACGUGACAGCAGCCGCGGUAAUCUGAGGCGGGCUGGCAAGGC
rnacentral:rRNA from 1 species